UACGAUUCCUUCAGGAGCUGCCUUCAUCCAGAAGAGUUUGUGGAAGAACGGGAGCUCUGGUUUUGUCUGAAAGGCCUGGGGCUGGCGUGAUAGUGACACAAAUACAGUACACGUUCAUCCUAUAGAUUAUAUUUCCUCGUGUUAAACCAGUGACCUGAUUUUCAGUGCCUAGCUUGCUGUUGAGCUUGCAGUGCUCAGAAAGAAAAGAAGAUGGAGCAGAACAAAGCAUGAGUGGAGCUUUGGAGCUGUGAAGUCUCGGAUGUUCCAGUCAUGGAGGUCCUUGAGAUUUAAACAACACUGCAUGCCCAUUUAAGAAACAAAAGGACAAAAAUAUUGUUUAAUUAAAAAUGUGACUCUGGAAAUGUAGGACUAAUGAGAAUCAUUCUGAACUGCACAUUUUACAUAGAUGGCUAUGAAAAAGGUCCACUAUAGCAACCAGAGUAAUGCAUCAUUCAGUUCUCCUAUGAUGGUACCAGACCUUAACCAAAGGUGAGAUCCGAAUGACACGAAAUUACGUGCACAGCAAGGCAGAAAAAGAUCAUCUCUUCCCCCACAGGCUUCCUGACCCAGGCCCAGAUUUGUCAGCACUCACACUGUAAACCUCCCGAGAUGAACAUGCAUCACAUAAUGUUACUGCGGGGCAACUCUGUCUUCCUCUACAGCCUCUGCAGGCCUGGUAGGCAAAGCUGUCCAGCUGAUUUCCAGGUAUGCUGCUGGGCAGAUGAGUGUACCAGCAGAAAGGAGAAUCAGGCAGACCUUACUGCUUGUAUGGCAGGUUGGUUCCUGGUCAUCAGAGGGCUUCUGACUCCAUGUGAAUCUUUGGCAAACAGUCCCAAGGAGAACAUGUUUCCCAGCCUGACCUGCACACAUGCAUCACGUCUAUGUAACUGGAAAGGAGAUUUGGGGCACAGGUCUGGCAGAAAGCACUGCCAAAAGUGCAAAAUAAACAUGCCUCCCACAAUGGGGAGAGGUAAAUUUACUCUCUGAUGUCUUUCAGGACAAGUAAUCUCAACUGGUCCAGUAAUUGCAAUUGUUAUAAAUAACACUGCAAAUGCUCUCCAGCAGAAGCAUUAUCUUUCAGUUUAUAGGCUCCCUUUAAGCACCAAGAUGCUAUUGUGCAGAGUUUUUGCUAUAGCCAAACGGACCUAGAUUGAAACAAAUAGCCCCAUUUUGCUUGUCACUUACUUAAGCUUGAUUUGAACCCAUGUUUGUAAAGCUGAAAGGCUUUUCUAAUCCAUCGUUACCAUGCCUCCCGCAUCGGGCCCACCUGUGGGAAUUUCACAUUCCUACAUUUAA